rnacentral:rRNA from 1 species
AUAGGCGAAAGCUUGACAGGGUUACUCUGAGUGAUUCCCGCUAAGGGGAUCUUUUGGCACCUCUAAAAAUGAUGCAGAAUAAAAAAUGGGCAAAUCUGGUGUCAGCCGCCACGGUAAUACCAGCACCCCGAAUGGUCGAAACGAUUAUUGGGCCUAAAGCAUCCGUAGCCGGUCCUACAAGUCUUCCGUUAAAUCCACCUGCUUAACAGAUGGGCUGCGGAAGAUACUAUAGGGCUAGGAGGCGGGAGAGGCAAGCGGUACUCAGUGGGUAGGGGUAAAAUCCUCUGAUCCACUGAAGACCACCAGUGGCGAAGGCGGCUUGCCAGAACGCGCUCGACGGUGAGGGAUGAAAGCUGGGGGAGCAAACCGGAUUAGAUACCCCCGUAGUCC